CCUACGGGGGGCAGCCGUGAGGAAUCUUGGUCAAUGGACGAGCGUCUGAACCAGCAAAGUAGCGUGAAGGAUGACUGCCCUCUGGGUUGUAACCUUCUUUUAUCUGGGAAUAAAACGUUCCACGUGUGGGAUUUUGUAUGUACCAUAUGCAUAAGGAUCGGCUAACUCCGUGCCAGCAGCCUCGGUAAUACGGAGGGACCGAGCGUUAUCCGGAUUUAUUGGGUUUAAAGGUAGCUUAAGUGGAUUGUUAAGUCAGUUGUGAAAGGUUGCGGCUCAAAAGUAAAAUUGCAGUUGAAACUGGCAGUCUAGAGUACAGUAGAGGUGGGCGGAAUUCGUGGUGUAGCGGUGAAAUGCUUAGAUAUCACGAAGAACUCCGAUUGCGAAGGCAGUUCACUGGACUGCAACUGACACUGAGGCUCGAAAGUGUGGGUAUCAAACAGGAGUAGAUACCCUAGUAGUC
rnacentral:rRNA from 1 species